GGCGCAGCUACCAUGCAAGUCGAGCGGUACGAAACUUGCUUCUCUGCUGAAGGCGACGGGGAGAUACUUGGAAUUUGCCUUUACCUGGCCUACAACCACUGGAAACCGUGGCUAAUACCGCAUAAUGUCUACGACGUCUAGGGGACCUUCGGCCUCACACCUAAAUGAGCCCUGGCGGGAUUACUAUUGGUGAGGUAAAGGCUCACCUGGGGACAUCCCUACUGUUCUGAAGGAUGAUCAGCCACCUGGGACUGAACACGGCCCGACUCCUACGGGAGGUCCUGUGGGGAAUAUUGCACAUCGAGCAUUGCGUCACUGAUGCAACCAUGCCACGUGUGCGAAGAAGGCCUUCGAUGGUAAAGCAUCACUUUCGGGGAGGAAAGGGUGAUAGUAAUAGCUAUCACUUGACGUUACACUGAAGAACCCGGCUAAAUCCGUGCAGCACCCGCGGAAUACGGAGGGGCAAGCGUAAUCGAAUUACUGGCGUAAAGCGAGAGGCGUGUUAAGUAGAUGGGAAAGCCCCAGGCUCAACCUGGGAAUACAUCUAGAACUGGCACUCUAGAGCCUGAAAGAGUGCUAGAAUUUCCAGUGAACGUUGAAAUGCGUAGAUAUCGAAGGAAUACCGGUGGCGAAGGCGGCCACCUGUCAGAGACUGACGCUAGUAGCGAAAGCGUGAUGAGCAAACAGGAUUAGAUACCCUGAUAGUCCACGCCGUAAACGAUGUCAACUAGUGUUCCUGCAUAGACGUGAGUACGCACUUACGCUUAAGUGACCGCUGGGGAGACGCCCAGGUUAAACUCAAAUGAAUUGCGGGGCACCCCAACCGGGACCAGGGUUAAUUGACCAUGCCGGAGGACCUUACCACUCCUGCCUUCCAGAAUUUUCCAGAGAGGAUUACCUUGGGAAUAUUGGGCCGGCCUGGCUUUUCAUUUUUGGGAGAUGGGUUAAUUCCGCCACGGAGCCCACCUUUUUCUUAGUCCACGGUUGGGGAACUCCGGGAGACUGCCGGUGAUAAACCGGAGGAAGGUGGGGACGACGUCAAGUCAUCAUGGCCCUUACGNGNNGGGCUACACACGUGCUACAAUGGCNUACAAGGGCAGCGAACUGCGAAGGNAGCGAAUCCAUAAAAGNNGUCGUAGUCCGGAUUGGAGUCUGCAACUCGACUCCAUGAAGUCGGAAUCGCUAGAUUAC
rnacentral:rRNA from 1 species